ACGGUAGGACGGUUAAUGAUCCAAAUCC
rnacentral:sRNA from 1 species